rnacentral:piRNA from 1 species
UGAUCUUCCAGGUGUUUGUAAGGAUUGG